CACGUAGGGCGCAAGCGUUGUCCGGAAUUAUUGGGCGUAAAGAGCUCGUAGGCGGACUGUUGCGUCCGCUGUGAAAAGCUGGGGCUUAACCCUGGCCUUGCAGUGGAUACGGGCAGACUAGAGGUAGGUAGGGGAGAAUGGAAUUCCCGGUGUAGCGGUGAAAUGCGCAGAUAUCGGGAGGAACACCGGUGGCGAAGGCGGCAUCCUGGACCAACACUGACACUGAGGAGCGAAAGCCAGGGGAGCAAACGGG
rnacentral:rRNA from 1 species